AUAUAGGGGAGUUCUAAGCAAGGAUGUCUUUCGCAUACAAUAAUAUGAUAGGACGAAGGGAUGGGUGGAUUGGGAUAGAGAAAAAUCUCCCCUCUUUGAGAAGAGAAAUGGUGGACUAUGAUGUGGGAUCAAUAUAUUUAGGAAAAAUACUGAUGGAGAACAUUGACCUCUCUUUUUCUUUUUUAGAAAAAAAUUAUUGUUUUUUUCCCUAUUAUUUAUUGCUUUGUAGUGCAGAAGUUUGAUUUCAAACAUCUAUUUAUGAAUUGUACAUUUGCUUUUGAUUUGGAAACUGACAAAAUUUACAUUUCAGAGGAGGCCAAUUAGAUUAUCUCUGUUAGCUUAGCAUUGUGCAAAAGGUAAGAAUUUGUUGACUUUACACCGACUUUAUGGAAAAAAUUGACUUGUACAGCAAUUGCCGUGCAGUGCAGAAGUUGGUUAGUAUCUCAAACUAACCUAUGUUCUGUGCACACUUUCUUGUUCCUCUUAGAAUAUAAUAUAUCUUUGUUUUCAAAAAUGGUAAAUGGUUUGUGACUUCAGUUGGAUGCAUUUCAAUGUUUUAUCUUCUCACCUUUCCUGUGGUCAAGUAUGAUGUAUACUUUUGUGUUAGAAACUUAGACCAAUUAGCUAUUCAAGUGUUCACUUGGCAUCGGUUUCUUUAAUAACAUAUGUAAGGACUUCUAUAUUUCUAUGGAAUGCCUUUGUUCAAUUUGUCGAGUAUCUGCUUUCUAAAAAAAUUGAAGCUGGACAAAGCCCUUUAAGUUGCAGUCAACUGAUAUAUUCAUGAAGAUGCUGUUAUGGAUUCCUUUUUUGACUGAUUGACUUCCUAUUUGUUUUUCUUUGCUAGGUUUUGCAUUUUCUUCUAUAUGAUGUGGCUUCCCGGAAAUUUAUUACAGAUGGUUUUUACUAUUAGUAUUUAGCCUUUUUGUUUGGUACUUGUAAAUCGAUAGUUAAUCUGUAGAUAAAAUGGAACCAAAGGGGGUUGGAUUGUUAGAUAGUGGCCGUAGGACUGUGGUUGGAGCAAAGAGUAAAGUGGCUUCUCAGAAUUUGGCACAUUUGUUUAGAGCCAGCAGUGAGAAAAUAUCAAUUCAAUCCAACUGUGAUAGCAAGCUUGAGAAGAGGAAAAGGAUCGUUGACUGCGAGUCUAAUUGUCAAUCACAUCUCAGGAAAUCUGUACACAAGAACUACCUGAACUUCAAGAGAAGCAGACUGCCGCAACGUGUACUGUUUUAUCAGAACGGUGAAUGGACCGACUUCCCUCAAGAUAUUAUUCCUAUAGUUAAAGAAGAUUUUCGGGCAAAAAAGGCAGUUUUUGAGGUGAAAGUUUGUGACUUUCAUAUAAUUCUUGAUACUUUACAUAUGGUUCAAAUAGAUAUGAUAAAUGGUUUACAGAAACCUAUUGCCUGGAUAGAUGAAGUAGGUAGGUGUUUCUUCCCUGAGUCGUAUCUUAUCAGUAGUGAAAUGCAUGGGAAUUUUGAAACCCUGUCAAAGAGAACUGAAGAGUUCAUGACAAUUGAGCCAGCUAGGAUAACUGAUAUUAAGUUGCAACUCGACAUUGACUUAAAUGGACUGGAUAAUCGUAAUUUGGAAGAAGAUGUGGAAGAGUCAAAUAUCGGUUAUAAGAGGAUUAAAGUAUAUCCUCCUAAAGACAGUCAAGAAUUUGCUGAUUAUAAAAAAUCAGAUGCAAAAAUGGAACAAGUUGCAGAAAAUAAACAGAACCAGGAAACACCAUCUCCUGACUUAGUAGCUAGCCUGAAAUUGGUGAAUGCAGAAUCUGUCGAAAAUAUGUUUAUUAUGGGAAUGAAUGUUAUCCCCAACAAGGAUGAGAUCAAAAUUACCAAAUGCUCUAGUAAUUAUUUGAGAACUCGCUUGGAACUCUUUGAGAAGCAGGUUGAAAUAACGCAAAAAUAUCGUGGAAACGCAAAUGUUCGAUAUGCUUGGCUUGCCGCUUCCAAAGAUUUGAUAUCUACAAUUAUGAAGUACGGCCUUGCACCUGGAGGACCUAAGUAUAGGCCUAAAUUUGGAGUUGGAGUUCACCUUAGUGCUCUCCAUUGUGCCUCCAAAAGUGCCAUUAAUUGCGAUGCUGAUGAAAAUGGCGUACAUUACAUGGUUUUUGCUCGUGUAAUUUUGGGUAAUGUGGAACCUUUGCACUGCGGAUCUGAACAAUGGCAUCCCAGUGACGAAAAAAUACGAUACUGGAGUUGAUGAUCUCGAGAAUCCUACUCAUUAUGUUGUUUGGAAUAUGAAUUUGAAUACAUAUAUAUACCCAGUGUGUGUUGUGAGCUUCAAAAUUCCUCCAGGAGCUGAAGGAACCCGCUUUGGAAAUGAUAGUCGGAUUGAUGUCUCAGGUGUCAAUACUUGUCCUCGGGGCCCUGUGGAACAGGGAAGUCAUCGUUAUCAAAUAUCACUGGUUAAGUUGGCCCUAGAAGAGGCUGCGAGGAUUCCAAAGUCCCUUGGGGUGCCAUUUUCCUUGUUGAUUGAUGCAAUCUCCAAUGAAGUAACUGCCGAGAAAAUGAACCAUGUUACUAGAAAUCUUGAGUUGCUUGAGUUCAAGAAGAUAUGUAGGGAUGAAUUUGAGAAACGGUUGAGGUUUAUCGAAGGCGAUACUCUGUUGAAGUCCACAAUGAAAAGUUUGCUGUGCAAGAUACAAUCUAAACCCAUUGAAUUGGUUCAGCCAAAGCAAGAGCCACAAAGUGCUGCCUUCAAAGGAAAUACUGCCCAAUUCCAUUGGCUAGAGCCACAGACCGAGUAACUGUGUUUAUGU